rnacentral:rRNA from 1 species
GAGUUUAGUGGCGGACGGGUGAGUAACGCGUGAGUAACCUGCCUUGGAGUGGGGAAUAACGGCUGGAAACGGUCGCUAAUACCGCAUAAAGCAUUGAGAUCGCAUGGUUUUAAUGCCAAAGAUUUAUCGCUCUGAGAUGGACUCGCGUCUGAUUAGCUAGUUGGUGAGGUAACGGCUCACCAAGGCGACGAUCAGUAGCCGGACUGAGAGGUUGACCGGCCACAUUGGGACUGAGACACGGCCCAGACUCC